UGUCCCUUAUUUGCCCUCCAGUAAAGAUCAGACACUGAACAUUAUGCGGUUGCUUGAGGGAUGAACAGGUCGCUUAGCAGAUCUGGGAUCAGGAGAUGGAAAACUGGAUAGUGAGCUGCAAUUGUUUCAGAAAAAAAUACAUUCAUCGCACAGGGUUGGAAAUUAACCCAAUUUUAGUGUCCUAUGCCAGGAGCAGGACCCGCUGGACAGUAGUGCCAUCUAGCCAGGCCACCUUUGUUAAAAAAAGACUUCUCGAAGAUGGAGGUCCUGGGUGAAAAGCUGUUGAAAGUGCUUCCUGAGGAUGCGUGUGUCAUCACUAGUUGUUUUCCUUUCCCCAACUGGCCACAACAAGCAUCUGUCGGUUCCGGUCUUGACUAAACGUUUGCUUAUGACUUUAGCAAUGUGCGCUCACGCCUGAGAAAAGUACCAGAAACAGUACUAAAUCACAGUCUCUCUGGGUUAUUUUGUUGUUGGCAUUGUCAUUCUCAACAUCAUGAACCCCUCCAGACACAUUUCUGUUU